UCACAUAGGAGGGUAAGUGUGGGUGCCAGUCACGGUCCGGAUUUGGGUCGUGACAUUGUUAAAUUGUUAAAAGGGACGAUGAAGAAAUUACCGUCGAUUUCCAAGGCCUCCCAUGUUAGUGAGACAGAUUUUUAUUUUUUAAAUUAUUAUUUCAUAUAUUCAAUUUUUUUCAUUUUUAUUUAUUACUAACACUUUUACUAAGUGUGUUUACAGGUACCCAAGACUUGUUUCAUUGAAGUUAUUCGAGAGGAGUUCAAUUUAUAUUUUACAAUUCAUUAUUUUGUAUAUAUCGAUGCUAGGCAAACUUUAGGCCGUUUCUCAUGUUGUUGUUUUAUUUUAUUAUUAUUGUUUAUUUUAUAUAAUAUUAAUGGUAUAUUAUUGUUAUCGCCUCAAUUUGAAAAAAUGAACUCAGUCGGGAACCACAGUUGUGGAUUUCGAAGGGUUUCUAAUCCCUUCCCUUCGGAAUAACUUGAACCCCUUAUCUAGAAUCAAAUUGGUUUCGUGGACUCUCUUUUAAGUUAAUUAAUUAAUCGGUUUCCUAGUUUUCCUAAAAAUUAGGUGGCGACUCCCUUCUCCCCCUUUAACUCCCAUUAAUCCUUUUAAACUCAUUUUACCACUUUUGACCCCUUUACCCUUUUUUAGAAAUUAUUUUAACUAAUUCUUUUUUUAUUGAGUCUCCACAAUGUUGCUUCCAUUAAAAGGAUGUCAACAGAAUGACGACUCCGCUGGGAAUAUUAGAGGUUCUAACCAUUCUGGGUUCAUUUUUUCAAAUUGUUGAUACUAUUCUUUAUUGUGCUAUUCAUUAUAUCUUUUAUAUUUUGUUAAUUAUUUGCAUGUCGUACUAUUUAUUUAUUCAUUAUUUAUUGUAUAUUGCCAUUGUAUUUCAUGACAUAAUUUCUGCCAAAUGGCAAAUAGAAUGCAUUAGAAUAAAGGCGGUUACGUGGCUUUCCACGACUGUCCUUUAGAAAAACACCUUCGAAAUUCAUUGGAAGUGAUAAACAAAUAGUUGGCUUGCGGUCAUCUAACGUUGUUAUUAUACUUCAUCCCCUAUUUUGUCCAACUCGGGUAAACAAGUCUCUUUUUAAGCCCACUCUUAGUCAGCUAGUGUAGAGCGAAAUCAAAAUAUCGUAUUAAGCAUGACACUCGAGACAUAUUUGUAUAACACAUGCACUCAUUGUUUGUAUAUUAUAUGAUUUAUCGUGAUAUAUGGUAGUCCAUUAUUUCAAAGUUACUCUUGCUAACAUAGUUUUAGAAUACUUAUAAUUUAAGUUCAAUCUUUUUUAAAGUUAAAUCGUUGAAACUAUGUUUGACCUGAUUCCUAAUUCAACGCGAUACGUAGGCGCCAUUAAGGCUCGGUCAUCUUCCCCGUAAGUUUUCCAAAUUUUAAGAACGGAAACUAGCGCAAAAUUUUGUGGAAGUCUCCAAAAUUUUAUAAUGGAGAUAGUUGUUACAAUAUUAAAUACCGGAGGUUUGUCGAAGCAGAAAUAGGGGCAAAAUUUUUUAGGAAUGCUCUCAAAAUUUUCACCAAGAUUGUACACAUACACCAGUAUUUAUGAGGCUUCACUCCGAGUUGGUUUGUUUAUUUUGCAUUAAUUUUUUGUACAUGAUGUCACAUUCAUUGUAUAUCUUUGAUUUUUACUAUACUCCAUUGAAAAAGUUAGUUUAAUUGACAUUUGUUAAGUUUGGGUAGUCCGUCCUUCAACGCGACUCAUUAUUUCAUUAUUUUAUUGUUGUUACUUUUGUUAAAUUUAGGUGGUCUUCCCUUCAAUGUGACUCACUGAUUCAUUCGUCCUUGUAAAAUUUUCUUUAAAUAGUAAAUAAAAAAAAUUGUUCAAUUCGGGUUGCCCGCCUUUCAAUGUGGCUCAUUGAUUUUUAUUCUCAUUAUUUUUUCCUUUCAAAAAGUAAUUUGUUGUUUAUAAAUUUUAUGUCAUAUUUGGAAGAACUACGCAAACCUGAUUCUCAUCAAUGAGAUACGUAGGCAGCCUUUAUUGGGUUCGGUAUUAUUUCUUCAAAAGAUUUUUUACUUUUUAUUCUUUGAAUAUUUAUAUUUUGCGAAAUUAUUUUUUCACUGGGUUGGUGCCAACACAGUUCAAGUGUGCAUGUGAAAAAUAAUUUGUAUAAUAAUGAAGAUUGACUUCUUGUUAAACCAUGGAUUCUUUUGGUACCUCUCAUUUAUACUUUGUUACACUUGCAAAUGUUGUCUUGUAUAAAUUCAAGAUUAGAACAAAAUCAGAUUCAUUAUUUCAUGUGCAUUGUAUGGUGAGUUUUGAAUCAAAUUCAAUUAUUUUUCAUUGUUGAUCUAGAACUUGGCCUAAAUGUUAUUGAGGCGAAAUUCUGAGUAAUGUCUGAUUUGAAAAAUGAUUGCAGGCCUUCUUUGAUCCGUUUGAGCCUUUCGAAACCUACCAAAUGAUGUUAAUCCUUAGAUGUCCCCAGUUUAAGCUUAUAGCCUUUUCUUUGGACAACCACAUCUUAACAUAUACCUUUUCUGAGUGCUUUUACGCACUAUCUCUCUUUUGAACAGACUUUCUUGAGCACACUGAAGACAUGCAAGUCAUAAGAGAAGAUACAAAGUUCAAAUUUGUCAAAGACAAAAGUUAUCAAAGUUCCUGAAUGUCCAGAAAACAAAAAUGACUUUAGAAGAAAAAAAAUGGUUCAAAAUUCCCACCAAUUUAAUAAAGCGAAAUUUCAAAAACACUCCAAACAAAAAAGGAGAAAAUUCAAAAAGAGGGAAAACUCAGACAAACAGAGUUUCAAAGAAGUCAAAAGUGCAAAAGGAAGGGACAACAAAGAGAAUCAAACGCUAAAAGCAUAAUAAAUGUUGAAAGCAUCUAUUUAGUGCAAUGCUCAAGAAGGAAUAAGUCACUUUAAUCCCAAAUGACUAUCCUAUCCGUUCCUAAGCCAACAUUACAAGCUAUUAACAAGCCCUACAUGAUUCCAAUUCAAAUGUUCCACAUUAGCGGAGACUUACAUGAAGGUCAAGCCUAUGGUAUCACAAUUGCAUGCGUUGAAAUAUUUUUCGAGUGUGAGUGUGCUUUUCCAGAUGUUUUCAAAUAAAAACACUUUAAAUGUGCGCAAAUUGAAAGUUUCUUUCUUGUGAAGGCACUUGAAACAUGAUGUUAGGUCUAGUUCUAAGCUUUUAUUUAUAGCAAGAGACAAAUCUUGUUGUUGCUUAAAUACAUUUGAGGUGCCACUUGAAUCCAUAGGAAUUACCUCGAUGUCAAUUUUAGUUGAAAGAGAAAAAUUGUGAGAAAUUUUUGUACAAUACUAUUGUUGGCGCUAACAAAGUUAAAAUAUGUUUCAUUGUUCAUAAAAUAAAAGUGGGUUGAAACCCACUUUACAAUAUUUGUCCAUACCAACUUUGUGAACCGUUUCAUUAUUGAUAUUUGUCCAAACAACUUUGUGGACCGUUUCAAAGUUUAAAUUGCAUUUUGGUAGUUAUACCCUUCAAAAUGACAUCUUUUAUUUUUCGGUAGUCAUACCCUUCAAAAUGACAUCUUUUAAAUUUGGGUUGCCAUACCUUUCAAAAUGACAUCAUUUUAUUUUUAUGCCCCAUAUUUGUCCAUACCAACUUUGUAGACCGUUUCAUUGUUGAUAUUUGUCCAUACCUUUCAAAAUGACAUCAUUUUGUUUAUUAUACUUCAUCUCGUAGUUUGUCCAACUCGGGUAAACAAGUCUCGUUUUAAGCCCACUCUUAGUCAGCUAGUGUAGAGCGAAAUCGAAACAUCAUAUUAAGCAUGACACUCGAGACAUAUUUGUAUAACACAUGCACUCAUUGUGUGCAUAUUAUAUGAUAUAUCGUGAUGUAUGAUAGUCCAUUAUUUCAAAGUUACUCUUGCUAACCUAGUUUUAGAAUACUUCUAAUUUAAAUUCAAUCUUUUUUCUAGUUAAAUCGUUGGAACUACGUUUGACCUGAUUCCUGCUUCAACGGGAUACGUAGGCGCCAUUAAGGCUCGGUCAUCUUCCCCGUAAAUUUUCCAAAUUUUAAGAACAGAAACUGGGGCAAAAUUUUGUGGAAGUCUCCAAAAUUUUAUAAUGGAGAUAGUUGUUACAAUAUUAAAUACCGGAGGUUUGUCGAAGCUGAAACAUGGGCAAAAAUUUUUAGGAAUGCCCUCACAAUUUUCACCAAGAUUGUACGCAGACUCCAGUAUUAAUGAGGCUUCACUCCGAAUUGGUUUUUUUUAUUUUGCAUUAAUUUUUUGUACAUGAUGUCACAUUCAUUGUAUAUCUUUGAUUUUUAUUAUACUCCAUUGAAAAAAAUAGUUUAAUUGACAUUUGUUAAGUUGGGGUAGUCCGUCCUUCAACGCGACUCGUUAUUUCAUUAUUUUAUUUUUGUUACUUUUGUUAAAUUUAGGUGGUCCGACCUUCAAUAUGACUCACUGAUUCAUUCAUCCUUGUAAAAUUUUCUUUAAAUAGUAAAUAAAAAAAUAUUUUGUUCAAUUCGGGUUGCUCUACUUUCAAUGUGGCUCAUUGAUUUUUAUUCUCAUUAUUUUUUCCUUUCAAAAAGUAAUUUGUUGUUUAUAAAUUUUAUGUCAUAUUUGGAAGAACUACGCAAACCUGAUUCUCAUCAAUGAGAUGCGUAGGCAGCCCUUAUUGGGUUCGGUAUUCUUUCUUCAAAAGAUUUUUUUACUUUUUAUUCUUUGAAUGAUUAUAUUUUUGAAAUUAUUUUUUCACUGGGUUGGUGCCAACACAGUUCAAGUGUGCAUGUGAAAAAUAAUUUGUAUAAUAAUGAAGAUUGACUUCUUGUUAAACCAUUGAUUCUUUUGGUACCUCUCAUUCAUACUUUGUUACACUCGCAAAUGUUGUCUUGUAUAAAUUCAAGAUUAGAACAAAAUCAGAUUCAUUGUUUCAUGUGCCUUUUGUGGUGAGUUUUGAAUCAAAUUCAAUUAUUUUUCAUUGUUGAUCAAGAACUUGGCCUAAAUGUUAUUGAGGCAAAAUUCUGAGUAAUGUUUGAUUUGAAAAAUGAUUGCAGACCUUCUUUGAUCCGUUUAAGCCUUUCAAAACCUACCAAAUGAUGUUAAUCCUUAGAUGUCCCCAGUUUGAGCCUAUAGCCUUUUGUUUGGACAACCACGUCUUAACCUAUACCUUUUCUGAGUGCUUUUACGCACUAUCUCUCUUUUGAACAGACUUUCUUGAGCACACUAAAGACAUGCGAGUCAUAAGAGAAGAUACAAAGUUCAAAUUUGUCAAAGACAAAAGUUAUCAAAGUUCAUGAAUGUCCAUAAAACAAAAAUGACUUCAGAAGAAAAAAAAGGGUUCAAAAUUCCCACCAAUUUAAUAAAGCAAAAUUUCAAACACACUCCAAACAAAAAAGGAGAAAAUUCAAAAAGAGGGAAAACUCAGACAAACAGAGUUUCAAAGAAGUCAAAAGUGCAAAAGGAAGGGACAACAAAGAGUAUCAAACGCUAAAAGCAUAAUAAAUGUAGAAAGCAUCUAUUUAGUGCAAUGCUCCAGAAGGAAUAAGUCACUUUAAUCCCAAAUGACUAUCCUAUCCGUUCCUAAGCCAACAUUACAAGCUAUUAACAAGCCCUACAUGAUGCCAAUUCUAAUGUUCCAGAAUAGCGGAGAUUUACAUGAAGGUCAAGCCUAUGGUAUCACAAUUGCAUGCGUUGAAAUUUUUUUCGAGUGUGAGUGUGCUUUUCCGAAUGUUUUCAAAUCAAAACACUUUAAAUAUGCGCAAAUUGAAAGGUUCUUUCUUGUGAGGGCACUUGAAACAUGAUGUUAGGUCUAGUUCUAAGCUUUUAUUAAUAGCAAGACGGACAAAUCUUGUUGUUGCUUAAGUACAUUUGAGGUACCACUUGAAUCCAUAGUAAUUACCUCGAUGUCAAUUUCAGUUGAAAGAGAAAAAUUGUGAGAAAUUUUUGUACAAUAGUAUUGUUGGCGCUAACCAAGUUAAAAUAUGUUUCAUUGUUCAUAAAACAAAAGUGGGUUGAAACCCACUUUACAAUAUUUGUCCAUACCAACUUUGUGAACCGUUUCAUUGUUGAUAUUUGUCCAAACAACUUUGUGGACCGUUUCAAAGUUUAAAUUGCAUUUUGGUAGUUAUACCCUUCAAAAUGAAUAUCUUUUAUUUUUCGGUAGUCAUACCCUUCAAAAUGACAUCUUUUUAAUUUGGGUUGCCAUACCUUUCAAAAUGACAUCAUUUUAUUUUUAUGCCCCAUAUUUGUCCAUACCAACUUUGUGGACCGUUUCAUUGUUGAUAUUUGUCCAUACCUUUCAAAAUGACAUCAUUUUGUUUAUUAUACUUCAUCUCGUUGUUUGUCCAACUCGGGUAAACAAGUCUCUUUUUAAGCCCACUCUUAGUCAGCUAGUGUAGAGCGAAAUCGAAACAUCGUAUUAAGCAUUUCACUCGAGACAUAUUUGUAUAACACAUGCACUCAUUGUUUGUGUAUUAUAUGAUAUAUCGUGAUGUAUGAUAGUCCAUUAUUUCAAAGUUACUCUUGCUAACCUAGUUUCAGAAUACUUAUAAUUUAAGUUCUAUCUUUUUUCAAGUUAAAUCAUUGGAACUACGUUUGACCUGAUUCCAGCUUCAACGGGAUACGUAGGCGCCAUUAAGGCUCGGUCAUCUUCCCCGUAAAUUUUCCAAAUUUUAAGAACAGAAACUGGGCAAAUUUUUGUGGAAGUCUCCAAAAUUUUAUAAUGGAGAUAGUUGUUACACGGGUAAAAAAUUUUAGGAAUGCCCUCAAAAUUUUCACCAAGAUUGUACCCAGACUCCAGUAUUUAUGGGGCUUCACUCCGAGUUGGUUUGUUUAUUUUGCAUUAAUUUUUUGUACAUGAUGUCACAUUCAUUGUAUAGUAUUGAUUUUUAUUAUACUCCAUUAAAAAAAUUAGUUUAAUUGACAUUUAUUAAGUUUGGGUAGUCCGUCCUUCAACGCGACUCAUUAUUUCAUUAUUUUAUUUUUGUUACUUUUGUUAAAUUUAGGUUGUCCGCCCUUCAAUGUGACUCACUGAUUUAUUCGACUAUUUAAAAUUUUCUUUAAAUAGUAAAUAAAAAAAUAUUUUGUUCAAUUCAGAUUGCCCACCUUUCAAUGUGGCUCAUUGAUUUUUAUUCUCAUUAUUUUUUCUUUCAAAAAGUAAUUUGUUGUUUAUAAAUUUUAUGUUAUAUUUGAAUGAACUACGCAAACUUGAUUCUUAUCAAUGAGAUACGUAGACAGCCCUUAUUGACUUCGAUAUUCUUUUUUCAAAAGAUUUUUUAUUUUUUAUUCUUUGAAUGUUUAUAUUUUCGAAAUUAUUUUUUCACUGGGUUGGUGCCAACACAGUUCAAGUAGCUACCAGGCGAGGCCACCGGCAAGCAUAAGCUUCAAUUGGCGACGCCCAUGUCAUCUUCCUCUGCCUCUUGUACCUUUCUCCACCUUCCUCUUAUUCUUUUCCCUCUCUUUGCAGGACCAAUAGAAGAGCCAGGCGAGACCACUAGCGAAGGAAGCACCCGCCGGCGAAAGCAACCACCAGAAAUUAGCCCCGACAAGCAGCGUGCUGCGGCGAGAAUGCCGAGUACCAGAAGUCGACGUCGCUCCUUCUAUUCUCCAUUUUUCGAGCAACAACAAAACCAGAAGCUUCGACUCCAUCGAGCAGCGAAACAAAAGCAGCUUCGUCGAUAGCUCCGACCAACAACUCCAUGCAACAGCUAUGGAGAAAUCUUCUCCAUCUCCAGCGCCCAUUUCUUCUUUUGCAGCGAGGACGAACAAAUUCCAGCAAUACUUCAAAGCUUCUAAGCUUGUUAAGACAGAUCUUUGAUGAUUCGUCCACAAACAAUUCCAACAAAAUAUGCUUAUGAUAAAUAAAGGAAAGCAUCUAGUUUCGUAAUAAGCGUGGGAGGUUGAAGAGCCGUCGUGAGAAGGAAUGCUUGGACAGAGAUUUUAUAUAAUUAAUUUCAAUGUUUUAAUUUUUAUUUAAGUGUUGGUUGGUAAUAAUGUUGUAUAACUCCGACUCUCCUAUAAGUAUGAUAUAUUUGGG